UAAAGUAUGAUAACGGGACGGGUGUAAUGUGAUGAAAACAUGGUAGAUACGCCGCUGGUACUUCUUAUAUAUAAGUGUUUUCAUCGCAUUACAUACCGUGGCGUUAUUUAGUACACUUGAGUUAACGGUUUUGGAACUGAAUUAUAUUCUAAUAUAUUAUUUAUUCGACUUUCUUAAAUCAAAGUAUAUUUUUAUAUAUACUAUAAACCUUUUUAUCAAAAUAUUGUUUUUCAAACAAUAUAUUUUUAUACAAACUUAUUCUACUUACUUAUUUAAUUUCCUUUGUAUUAUUAUUUUAUAUCAUCUGAUUUCUUAUAAAUGAUUUAUAAAAGAAAACCUUUUUCAAGGAUCAUGACUACUUUUUCUUAAACAUUUUUCCUUAAACUUAUAAGUCACGAAUCCUAAAUCAAUAAAACCUAUGUAUCUCACAGGCAUUUUUAUGCUGACGUACCUAUUUUUACACAUGUUUCAGGUGCUGCUUUGUGAUGAUUGUUGAUACAUGCUACACUUAGGAUGGACUCGUGCCUUAGCGACUUUAAAAUUUGAAAGACAAUAUUUGUAUUAAUUUGAUUUGUAUUAAAACAAUGAGUUCAUUUAUUCAAUAAAACAAAAUUAUUU
rnacentral:lncRNA from 1 species